AAAAUUUUGAGGUUACUAUUAUGUUGUUAUUGGUUUAUUUGCCUUUUGCAUCAUGCUUUAUAAAAUUAUGAAUAGAUGUUUAUAACCGAAAAGUCUAGAUUUUACUUUUAGUUGCUUUGCGCUGAAUUAUAUUGUGUAAAUUUUUUAAAACUAAUAGUAGGUUGUGAUAAAUUAGUCGUUAGACUUUAUAUCUGUUUAAUUGUGAUAUUUUCUGAUAACGCGCCAGGUUAUGAGAUCUGGUGUGAUACUAUACAUGAAGUUUUUUUUGUUUAUAAAAGGGUUAAAGUUACCUUUUUUUAGUGAGUUUGUUGUAAGUUUAUUAUUGUGUUGUUGACUGGUUAGUUUAGUAUGCACAAUUUAUUGAAUGUUUAGUUUGUAAACAAUUAUUAAAUGAGUAAUCUUAUUAUAUUAAUUAGUUCUCGAGUUUUGCCCGUCUGUUUAUUAAAAACAUUUCUAACUUUUAUUAUGUUAGUUAGUAUGACCUGCUCUAUGCUUAUGUAAAUGGCCGCAGUAUCUUGACUGUGCGAAGGUAGCAUAAUUAAUUGCCCUAUAAUUGGGGGCUUGUUUGAAUGGUUGAACGAGGUAAUAAUGAAUAUUUGAUAUUUUAUUGAAAUUAGUUGUGAGGGCACAGAAACCUCAUGUAUUAAUUAGACGGAAAGACCCCGGGAUCUUUUAUUUUACCUGGGGCAGGUGUUAAUGUUUUAUUAGUAUUUAGACCCUAUAAAGGUUAUUGGGUAAGUUACCCCGGGGAUAACAGUGUAAUGACCAAUGAGAGAUCGUAUCGAAUUUGUUGUUUGCCACCUCGAUGUUGACUUAGGUAGAAGUAUGGACGCAGUAGUUCAGUGCUUGGGUCUGUUCGACCUUAUUUGCCUCCAUGAGUUGAGUUAAGACCGGCGUGAGCCAGGUCGGUUCUUAUCUAUUUGAGGGGCGUAUCAGUACGAAAGGACCGUAUGCUCUUUUAUU
rnacentral:rRNA from 1 species